rnacentral:rRNA from 1 species
UACAGAGGCUUCAAGCGUUGUUCGGAUUCAUUGGGCGUAAAGGGUGCGUAGGCGGCGGGGUAAGUCAGGUGUGAAAUCUCGAGGCUCAACCUCGAAACUGCACUUGAUACUGCCUUGCUCGAGUACUGGAGAGGAGAUUGGAAUUUACGGUGUAGCAGUGAAAUGCGUAGAUAUCGUAAGGAAGACCAGUGGCGAAGGCGAAUCUCUGGACAGUUACUGACACUGAGGCACGAAGGCCAGGGGAGCAAACGGG